UGGAAUUAAGCGAUCAUCUGUAAGUUGAUUUAUUAAUUUUCAUCACAAAAUUAGUUAGAUUUAUACGACAAUCGGAUUAUUCGUUGCGAUUUUUUCCCUACAUACUCAUAAGAGUAUAGUAGCCGGACUAAAUAUAUAUAUAGGUUUUUGGGGUGCAGUCUAAGGCUUCGCUUGGGAUUUUGGGGAGAUUGCAUUACAUGCGGUGAGAAAGUACGAUAAGAAAAUAUUCUGUUUGUUUCUGUAUGUAAUAUUGCAUUUCGCAUAUCGCGAUGAGUCGGUUACGGUAUUUUUUUUGUGAUCCCACCGGAGAACGCAGAAGCAUAUCCCUAUAUGCUUUACCCUAACUUCAUUUUAUCUAAUAGCGUCAGAUGGGUUUUGUUAUUUUUGGUUUAGAUUUGUAGUUAUCUAAAUUGAGAAUAAAUUCUAAUCUAAUUGGGAUUAGAUAUUAUUUAGAUUUAAUUUUGGCAUAUAUGGAUUAUAAUUAGGAGUAUAAUUCUAAUUAGAAUUAGACUCUAAUUAGGAGACAUGUAUUAUAUAUACAUGCUACGGCCAAGUUAAUGACGCCGCGAUCAAAAAAUUUGAGAAGCCAUGCAAAUUAAUUAAGAGCAUGUUGGUAGAUGUACGGAUUGGAGAAGCCGGAUCUCUAAUUAAGAAGGCACGCCUAAUUAAGUCCAAGCCGUACAUGCUUCUUCGGGCUGGUGGUCUGGUGGCUCUAAUUAAGCCAUGCACUAAUUAAAGUGUUGAUGGUCCGUACGGUUGAGGAUGAAUGAGCAGCUUUGAGCCAAAGAAGAGAAGCUGUGCAUUGUUUCUAUGAAGAUCCAAGCUAUUUAAUUAAGAAGCAUCUUGGUAUUCCGUACGGGUGAAGGAGCCAGCCGGUUAUUUGGAGUUGCGUUGUUGCGGCGUUUCGAUCUAAUUAAGUUUGGUCUUUGAGAGGUCCUUCUUUG
rnacentral:lncRNA from 1 species